rnacentral:rRNA from 1 species
CUACGUGCCAGCAGCCGCGGUAAUACGUAGGUCCCGAGCGUUGUCCGGAUUUAUUGGGCGUAAAGCGAGCGCAGGCGGUUAGAUAAGUCUGAAGUUAAAGGCUGUGGCUUAACCAUAGUACGCUUUGGAAACUGUUUAACUUGAGUGCAAGAGGGGAGAGUGGAAUUCCAUGUGUAGCGGUGAAAUGCGUAGAUAUAUGGAGGAACACCGGUGGCGAAAGCGGCUCUCUGGCUUGUAACUGACGCUGAGGCUCGAAAGCGUGGGGAGCAAACAGGAUUAGAUACCCUGGUAGUCCACGCCGUAAACGAUGAGUGCUAGGUGUUAGACCCUUUCCGGGGUUUAGUGCCGCAGCUAACGCAUUAAGCACUCCGCCUGGGGAGUACGACCGCAAGGUUGAAACUCAAAGGAAUUGACGGGGGCCCGCACAAGCGGUGGGGCAUGUGGUUUAAUUCGAAGCAACGCGAAGAACCUUACCAAGUCUUGACAUCCUUUGACCACUCUAGAGAUAGAGCUUUCC